UGCUGUGUGUUCAACUGUCCUCGGUUCAUGGCUUGUCGGGAGCGCCGCCCACUCUCCCCAGCCGCAGCCGCUUUGUGCUGCAGUCGCUUCUCUGCCCGCUUCAGCUUCUACACGGAGGGGGCUCGCCCUGCAUCGUUCAAGUUACUAGUGGCAAUAAAAGUCACAAAGAGAUUUCGCCGGGCACCUCUGGAGGCCGUGAUUUAUAAUGAAGUCAGUACCCAACGUUAACUGCGACGCCCUCUGGUGGCUUCCAGUAUUUUCCUUAGCUGCAAGAGUAAAGUUAAACAAAACAAAAUAAAAGCCCAGAAGGCAACAAUAACAGU
rnacentral:lncRNA from 1 species